GAAGAUAUAUUUAAUAGCACAUUUGAAGCUAUCUCAUUUAAAAGAUGAAAAAUAAAAAUUUGAAACAAUGCAAAUACCUGACAAUACACCAAUGUCUACAGGGCAGUGAAUCUUAUGCAAGGUGUUGUCUAAGGCACAUGGGCAAGAGAAACUGGAAAAGCUUUGGGUUGGUGAAAUUAUAGGUGAUUAUUAUAUUUUAAUUUAGAAAUUUCCUCCACAACAAAAAAUAUUGAAUUUAUGUAACAUAAACAGCUUGACCUCAGGCUGAUUAUUAAAAAUCAAACCAGAAAACACUGAAAAUUCAAGGACACCAUUUCACAAUCCUCACCAAAAGCAAACAAGCAAAUAUGAAACAAAACAACAACAACUCAUCACACUCUGCUUAAAACAACUGCUUCAAAACUUUUUUUGGGGGGUUCUGGGGAUCAAACUUGGGUUCUUGUGCUUGUGUUCAAAAUACAUUUUAAACAUUUUAAAGUUAAAUAUAUACCAGCAAUUGAUGAACAAUUUCAUAUUUAAGUAUUUCCCCCAAGAAAUGAAAGUCUGUAUCAUACACACAUGUAUAAGAAUGGUCACAGCAGCUUCAUUUUUAAGGUCAACACUGGAAACAGAACAAAGGGAUGAUUGCUGAUGGAUGCAGGAACAAUUCCUGCCCUGCCCACACAAUGGAUUGCGAUGUCUUCACCCCAGCAAGAAACCCAGCCUGCAUUUACUGCUUGAAGAAGACUGAACAGAAAGAUUUAUACUGAAUAGUUACAGCUCCAUCCCCUCUAGAAAAGGCAGACUCUCUACCAGGUCCAAACACAACUCGGAACCCUAGAGUCACCAGGCACCCCAGUCUCAUGAGUCACCUGGCUGGAGACCAUCAGCAAUGAACUGUCCAAACAGAACUCGGAACCCUCGAGUUACCGGACACCACAGUCUCAGGACGGCUGGCUCACAGUCACUUGGCUGGAGACAGCGAGCAGUGAACACGCUGUGCUGCCUGCCCAGGCCUCGAGGCCGCAGCCUCAGGACCCCUCGCAGGGAAAGCACUUGGGAACGAGUGAGAGGAUGGAUGACUAAGUCCAGGCGCAACAGGCCACUGGGCAGGAACCGCCCUGCCCUCGUGGACAGCACAGGGCAGGCCUCACCAGACCCGGCGACCGAUGACCUUGAGAUGAGAGCGAGCCCAGGCGAGGUGUCCCCGGGCCUGGCCAUCAGACGCGUAGAGCCACUGAGUCCAGGACAGGAACACUUAGGCCUGGCCGUCACUGUGAGUCCCCUGCACAGCGCUCACCCUGCUUCCUCAGCGUGUGUGUGUCCAGGUGGUGGGGGACCAGGUAUGAGGCAGAGGCUCCUCCUGGGCAGGAGCAGGUGCUGCUGGGAGGCUGUGAGCCCUGGGUCCUGUCACAUCUCACCCAUGGCAGGGCUGGCAGGGGAGAAGGGCGGUGCCCCCCGAUGA
ensembl:lincRNA